rnacentral:misc_RNA from 1 species
GAUGAAGAACGUAGCGAAAUGCAAUAAGUAAUGUGAAUUGCAGAAUUCAGUGAAUCAUCGAAUCUUUGAACGCACAUUGCGCCCGCCAGUAUUCUGGCGGGCAUGCCUGUUCGAGCGUCAUUACAACCCUCAGGCCCCCGGGCCUGGCGUUGGGGAUCGGCGGAAGCCCCCUGCGGGCACAACGCCGUCCCCCAAAUACAGUGGCGGUCCCGCCGCAGCUUCCAUUGCGUAGUAGCUAACACCUCGCAACUGGAGAGCGGCGCGGCCACGCCGUAAAACACCCAACUUCUGAAUGUUGACCUCGAAUCAGGUAGGAAUACCCGCUGAACUUAAGCAUAUCAAUAAGCGGAGGA